GCCUUGCUGACGAGUGCCAACUAGUACGAAACCUACGUCCAAGGC
rnacentral:hammerhead_ribozyme from 1 species